rnacentral:rRNA from 1 species
UUGGAGGGCAAGUCUGGUGCCAGCAGCCGCGGUAAUUCCAGCUCCAAUAGCGUAUAUUAAAGUUGUUGUGGUUAAAAAGCUCGUAGUUGAACCUUGGGCCUGGCUGGCCGGUCCGCCUCACCGCGUGCACUGGUCCGGCCGGGCCUUUCCCUCUGCGGAACCCCAUGCCCUUCACUGGGUGUGGCGGGGAAACNGGACUUUUACUUGAAAAAAUUAGAGUGCUCAAGGCAGGCCUAUGCUCGAAUACAUUAGCAUGGAAUAAUAGAAUAGGA